rnacentral:rRNA from 1 species
UACAGAGGGGGCAAGCGUUGUUCGGAAUUACUGGGCGUAAAGGGCGCGUAGGCGGCCUGUUAAGUCGGACGUGAAAUCCCUCGGCUCAACCGGGGAACUGCGUCCGAUACUGGCGGGCUUGAAUUCGGGAGAGGGAUGUGGAAUUCCAGGUGUAGCGGUGAAAUGCGUAGAUAUCUGGAGGAACACCGGUGGCGAAGGCGGCAUCCUGGACCAUUACUGACACUGAGAAGCGAAAGCCAGGGGAGCAAACGGG